UAUAGCCUCAGUUUAGCCUUCGAUACGGACCCACUUCCGCUCUCUUCGUCAAGAGAGGAUCAAGGCAGGAACCAGGGCUAUAGAGACAGAAAGAGAGGCUAGAGCGCCUCCUCGCCACGCCCCUCUCGUUGCCUCCUCUGUUGGAACUCCUAAUGAGAAAGGAGGGAGGGAUGUUCGCGACUCUCAUUUUUUUAACACAUCUAUGAGGCUGCGCUCAAUUUGAGCAAGAGCAGGACAUAGAGAUAAAACGGUAGACUCUUACUCAGUGGGCAUGCCUUGUCCAUUUAUACUUCCAUUUACUUUCUUCUCCCUUAAUGCAAAUACUGAUACUUUCCGCCAGAAACGAACCAACAUGCUAGUUGUAUUGUUCCGUCGUUCCAUAAAGGUCUACGCCUCGUGAUCAGUUUUUGGGGAGAUGAUGUGAAAGCACAGCAUAUGCUUUUAGACAACCCCCUGGCAGACAUGACGUGAAAGCACAGCAUAUGCUUUGCACCCUCCUUUUAAGCCAUAAAUUACUGCAUGUAAAUAUAACAUACACCCAAGAGCCAAUGAAUAUUUAUUUAGUAUGAAACAGAUAUUUCAUCCAACAUUUUAUUCCGUUUCCAUACGUCUGAGGAAGUGGACCUGUCCACGAAAGGUCAUAUUGAAAUAUAAUAGUCUUUAAGGUGCCCCAAGUUUUUUGUCUUGCUUUGUUUCCUUGGGUUUUGCCUGAUAUCCUUUUAAGGGGAAGCAGCAGAAGCUUGUGCUGCGUUUCAGGCAAAAAUAAAGGGGGACGAGAAGCAAAAACAAAACAAAGCACGGCACCCUUGCCAUUUAUCUCUUUUGCUGUAGAGAGAUGUAUGUUGCACAUAUCCAGAGGCUGGAGAAGGGGAAAACGUGGAAAGGUUUGGAAGGAACCAGCAGUGAUGUACUAGGUAGGUACUUCACCACAAGCACGGCAGGUCUGUGCAAAUGACUGCUGACAUAACAGAUGACAAAUGGGCUUCUUCUUCUCUUUGAAGGUAUGCCCAUCCUCAUGCUACUGUUCCUCUGAUGGUGAUAUC
rnacentral:lncRNA from 1 species